GUGUAUAUACAGUCGGAACUGGCAAAAUUCUAUUAAUUUAACGAAAUAUUAAAUUAUCGAACUAAUAAUUUAGUACGUUUUCACCGAUUCGGGACUGGGAGAAGUUAAUAUUUAAGCGAGGUUAUUAAUUUAUCGAUUAAUCAAUCGAGAGGUUAUUAAUUUAUCGAUUUAUCGAGAUUCUACUGUAUGUAUGUAUGUAUGUAUAUUUUUGUGCUGAAAUUAUAUGUGCAUCUACUGUUUUUAGAUGUGACCAUCCUAAAUACAAGAGAGGCACCACCUGCUCACUUCAUGAUAAAGAUUGAAUCUUUCUCCGUGUUUGAAAAGUAUGGAAUUACGAAAUACGAAACAAAAGAAUUUGUCGCCGGCGACUACAAGUGGAGACUAAUAUUCAAUUUUAAUGGAAGAGAUAGUGAUUAUAUAUCUGUAAACUUGGCUAUGACGGACACAACUUCUCUCCCUACAAACUGGGAAGUCAAUGCUCUCUUCAGCAUCUUUCUCUUUAAUCAGAUUUCAGGCAAUUAUUUUUCUUCAACAGGUAUUAUAUAUUAGACUUUUAUUUUUUCUCUUUUUAGUCAUAAAUUAUUUGUUUACUUCAAUUUCUAAGGACUAUUUUUAUAAUAUUAUUGGCAGGAAAAACGAAGUGUUUCCAAGCAACAAAGUCCGAAUGGGGAAUUUCAAAAUUUAUCUGUAAAAAGGUUUUGUCUGAUCCAUCAAAUGGAUACAUAAUCGAUGACAGCUGUGUGUUUGGUGCUGAAGUUUUUGUGGUCAAAAGAGAAGCAGUCAUUGAACGUCUAUUGUUUUCGAAUGUCAAUACUUAUUACAAUCAUGCUUUGGAGAUUUCGGGUUUCUCCCAAUUGCCCCGAAGUUGGGAGUCUGAAGAAUUUGAUGCCGGAGGCCAAAAAUGGAAAAUCCUUCUUUACCCGAAAGGAAAUGGAGAAGGAACUGGCAGCCAUGUUAGCAUCUAUUUGUACUAUCUUGGUACCGAAAGAGUGCAGACAUGUUUUACCGUAUGCAUGAAAAACCAGUUUGAUGAUAAACAAACUAGACGAUAUUUUUUUAGUUAUUGGUUUUCAGCUUCCAGCAGUAGUUGGGGAAGUCAUGUAUACAUUGAUCUUGCAACUAUUAAUGACCCUAACAAAGGAUUCAUUGUCAAAGAUUGUUGUCUUCUAAAUAUUGAAAUCAACGUCAAAGCUGUUGCGCGAGUAUCUUAAUUAGUUACCUAUUAAAAAGUUGGAUUAGACGAUUUUGUUGUGUGUAUCAAACACAACUUUAUAUUUUCAUGAUAUAUAUAUUUAUUGCGUGAU